GGGCUCACACAAGCGGUGGAGGAUGUGGCUUAAUUCGAGGCUACGCGAAAAACCUUAUCCUGGAUUUGACAUGCUUGGAUUAGCUCUGUGAAAGCAGAGUGACGCCUUCGGGUGGAACAAGCACAGGUGCUGCAUGGCUGUCGUCAGCUCGUGUCGUGAGAUGUCGGGUUAAGUCCCUUAACGAGCGAAACCCUUAUCGUUAGUUGCCAGCGAGUAAUGUCGGGGACUCUAACGAGACUGCCGGUGUUAAACCGGAGGAAGGUGGGGAUGACGUCAAGUCCUCAUGGCCUUUAUGUCCAGGGCUGCACACGUCCUACAAUGGUGCGCACAAAGGGAAGCAAACUCGCGAGAGCAAGCAAAUCCCAAAAAACGCACCCCAGUUCGGAUUGCAGGCUGCAAUUCGCCUGCAUGAAGUCGGAAUCGCUAGUAAUCGCGGGUCAGCAUACCGCGGUGAAUGUGUUCCUGAGCCUU
rnacentral:rRNA from 1 species